rnacentral:rRNA from 1 species
ACGAACGCUAGCGACAGGCCUAACACAUGCAAGUCAGGGGCAGCACAAGGAGCAAUCUGAGGUGGCGACCGGCGCACGGGUGAGUAACACGUAUGCAACCUGCCUGUAAGCGGGGAAUAACCCGUUGAAAGACGGACUAAUACCGCAUAAUACUAAAUUACUGCAUGGUAAUUUAUUUAAACAUUUAUGGCUUACAGAUGGGCAUGCGCAUGAUUAGCUAGUUGGAGAGGUAACGGCUCCCCAAGGCAACGAUCAUUAGGGGUUCUGAGAGGAAGGUCCCCCACACUGGUACUGAGACACGGACCAGACUCCUACGGGAGGCAGCAGUGAGGAAUAUUGGUCAAUGGACGAGAGUCUGAACCAGCCAAGUCGCGUGCAGGAAGAAUGUCCCUAUGGAUUGUAAACUGCUUUUGCAGGGGAAUAAAGUGCAUCACGUGUGAUGUUUUGUAUGUACUCUGCGAAUAAGGAUCGGCUAACUCCGUGCCAGCCGCGGC